GUAACACGUGAGUAACCUGCCCCUGACUCUGGUAUAAGCGUUGGAAACGACGUCUAAUACUGGAUAUGACUGCCGGCCGCAUGGUCUGGUGGUGGAAAGAUUUUUUGGUUGGGGAUGGACUCGCGGCCUAUCAGCUUGUUGGUGAGGUAAUGGCUCACCAAGGCGACGACGGGUAGCCGGCCUGAGAGGGUGACCGGCCACACUGGGACUGAGACACGGCCCAGACUCCUACGGGAGGCAGCAGUGGGGAAUAUUGCACAAUGGGCGAAAGCCUGAUGCAGCAACGCCGCGUGAGGGAUGACGGCCUUCGGGUUGUAAACCUCUUUUAGUAGGGAAGAAGCGAAAGUGACGGUACCUGCAGAAAAAGCACCGGCUAACUACGUGCCAGCAGCCGCGGUAAUACGUAGGGUGCAAGCGUUGUCCGGAAUUAUUGGGCGUAAAGAGCUCGUAGGCGGUUUGUCGCGUCUGCUGUGAAAUCCCGAGGCUCAACCUCGGGCUUGCAGUGGGGUACGGGCAGACUAGAGUGCGGUAGGGGAGAUUGGAAUUCCUGGUGUAGCGGUGGAAUGCGCAGAUAUCAGGAGGAACACCGAUGGCGAAGGCAGAUCUCUGGGCCGUAACUGACGCUGAGGAGCGAAAGCGUGGGGAGCGAACAGGAUUAGAUACCCUGGUAGUCCACGCCGUAAACGUUGGGCGCUAGAUGUAGGGACCUUUCCACGGUUUCUGUGUCGUAGCUAACGCAUUAAGCGCCCCGCCUGGGGAGUACGGCCGCAAGGCUAAAACUCAAAGGAAUUGACGGGGGCCCGCACAAGCGGCGGAGCAUGCGGAUUAAUUCGAUGCAACGCGAAGAACCUUACCAAGGCUUGACAUACACCGGAAACGGCCAGAGAUGGUCGCCCCCUUGUGGUCGGUGUACAGGUGGUGCAUGGUUGUCGUCAGCUCGUGUCGUGAGAUGUUGGGUUAAGUCCCGCAACGAGCGCAACCCUCGUUCUAUGUUGCCAGCGCGUUAUGGCGGGGACUCAUAGGAGACUGCCGGGGUCAACUCGGAGGAAGGUGGGGAUGACGUCAAAUCAUCAUGCCCCUUAUGUCUUGGGCUUCACGCAUGCUACAAUGGCCGGUACAAAGGGCUGCGAUACCGUAAGGUGGAGCGAAUCCCAAAAAGCCGGUCUCAGUUCGGAUUGAGGUCUGCAACUCGACCUCAUGAAGUCGGAGUCGCUAGUAAUCGCAGAUCAGCAACGCUGCGGUGAAUACGUUCCCGGGCCUUGUACACACCGCCCGUCAAGUC
rnacentral:rRNA from 1 species